rnacentral:rRNA from 1 species
UGGGGAAUAUUGCACAAUGGGCGCAAGCCUGAUGCAGCCAUGCCGCGUGUAUGAAGAAGGCCUUCGGAUUGUAAAGUACUUUCAGCGGGGAGGAAGGGAGUAAAGUUAAUACCUUUGCUCAUUGACGUUACCCGCAGAAGAAGCACCGGCUAACUCCGUGCCAGCAGCCGCGGUAAUACGGAGGGUGCAAGCGUUAAUCGGAAUUACUGGGCGUAAAGCGCACGCAGGCGGUUUGUUAAGUCAGAUGUGAAAUCCCCGGGCUCAACCUGGGAACUGAAUCUGAUACUGGCAAGCUUGAGGCUCGUAGAGGGGGGUAGAAUUCCAGGUGUAGCGGUGAAAUGCGUAGAGAUCUGGAGGAAUACCGGUGGCGAAGGCGGCCCCCUGGACGAAGACUGACGCUCAGGUGCGAAAGCGUGGGGAGCAAACAGG